rnacentral:rRNA from 1 species
UGGGGAAUCUUGGACAAUGGGCGAAAGCCUGAUCCAGCCAUGCCGCGUGAAUGAUGAAGGUCUUAGGAUUGUAAAAUUCUUUCACCGGGGAAGAUAAUGACGGUACCCGGAGAAGAAGCCCCGGCUAACUUCGUGCCAGCAGCCGCGGUAAUACGAAGGGGGCUAGCGUUGCUCGGAUUUACUGGGCGUAAAGGGUGCGUAGGCGGAUUGGUAAGUUGGAGGUGAAAGCCCAGGGCUCAACCCUGGAAUUGCCUUCAAAACUGCUAGUCUUGAGUUUGGGAGAGGUAAGUGGAAUUCCGAGUGUAGAGGUGAAAUUCGUAGAUAUUCGGAAGAACACCAGUGGCGAAGGCGACUUACUGGACCAAUACUGACGCUGAGGCACGAAAGCGUGGGGAGCAAA